ACAAGGCAUGGCGGGUGUUCCAAAUUUUAUCCGUUUUAGACUUCAAGUCGAGGGCGGAUAGAAUUUGGAUCUGAGAAUAUACCGUACAUAUGAACUUGAUCUAGAUAAUUCUAGCGAAAGGACAUGCUUCCCCUUCCCA
rnacentral:ncRNA from 1 species